CGGAUAAAAGCUACCCCGGGGAUAACAGGCUUAUCUCCCCCAAGAGUUCACAUCGACGGGGAGGUUUGGCACCUCGAUGUCGGCUCAUCGCAUCCUGGGGCUGUAGUCGGUCCCAAGGGUUGGGCUGUUCGCCCAUUAAAGCGGUACGCGAGCUGGGUUCAGAACGUCGUGAGACAGUUCGGUCCCUAUCCGUCGUGGGCGUAGGAAAUUUGAGAGGAGCUGUCCUUAGUACGAGAGGACCGGGAUGGACAUACCUCUGGUGUACCAGUUGUCGUGCCAACGGCAUAGCUGGGUAGCUAUGUGUGGACGGGAUAAGUGCUGAAAGCAUCUAAGCAUGAAGCCCCCCUCAAGAUGAGAUUUCCCAACUUCGGUUAUAAGAUCCCUCAAAGAUGAUGAGGUUAAUAGGUUCGAGGUGGAAGCAUGGUGACAU
rnacentral:rRNA from 1 species